CGUACAGAACUGUUCGCCGAAUCAAUACAGAUUUACUCAAAUCUUUCAAUUCACAAAGUGCAAUUGCAUCUGAACACCGUUUGAAAGACAGCGCCAAACUUGAAGUAAAGGAUUAUUUUUCUUUUCGACUUUCAUGCAACGUUGGAAGUUGAAAGGGCCCUUUUUGCACUUCAGCACAAGCUUCAUACCCCAUUACAGCACGCCUGCUUAUACUUUACAAGAUUUCAUGGUCAAAACUGAUAUAGAAUCAUGACCAGCCAUUAUAUUUGCCCUAAAAGAAUGUUAGCAACCAGGAUACUCGCUUUCAGCUGGUCCCCUCGGUGUAAAACACAGCGGGUACUGAACAACUUGAAGCUGGGAACAAGAUAGAGAGAAGCAAAGGGGAAAGUGUUCAGUUCUUCCCCAGCACAGGAGUGGUCCAUCUCUGCAGUCAAAAUUCACUGCGAACCUGAAAAAAGAUCAGCUUGAAGAGGUCAUCUUUUGGAUUUUGUAUUAAUUUCAGUUGUUCAACGUAACACUGGAUCAAACUGCUAAAAGCAGAAAUUCUUAAUCAAUAAUAUCAAUAGAUAAGAACUGAAAAUAGAAUACUGUUAAAAUCUGUCUAUUAGUUCUACCACUUAUGAAUGCAGUGAUUCAUGCCUUGUAUUGCACUCUAAUUUAGAGGGCAAUAUAGUUUCUAAAUUUCACCUCAGAUGAGCAGAUUUUGCUAGAGUUAACUUUUUUAAAAAGUCAGGAAAAACAAUGCCAGAAUGCAGCAAUAUAAAGAAAAUCAGAUGAGGAAAGAAAACUAGAUUGAUGAUAUUCAAGAACAAUGAAGUAUAAUUUUAAUAAUAUGAUCAGAAGUGUCCUUUCCUAUUUGCUUUUACUGCAAUUUUUGGUAAUGGAUUCUUACACUUUUGUCACUUGUAGUGAUUCAUUUUUAUUUUUGCCUGUUUCUUCAUUCAUUGUACAAUAAUUCAUGGUUGCUGUUCAAAGUCAGGUUCAAAUAAUGCUUCACUUUUUAAA